rnacentral:rRNA from 1 species
GACGAACGCUGGCGGCGUGCUUAACACAUGCAAGUCGAACGGAAAGGCCCUGCUUUUGUGGGGUGCUCGAGUGGCGAACGGGUGAGUAACACGUGAGUAACCUGCCCUUGACUUUGGGAUAACUUCAGGAAACUGGGGCUAAUACCGGAUAGGAGCUCCUGCUGCAUGGUGGGGGUUGGAAAGUUUCGGCGGUUGGGGAUGGACUCGCGGCUUAUCAGCUUGUUGGUGGGGUAGUGGCGUACCAAGGCUUUGACGGGUAGCCGGCCUGAGAGGGUGACCGGCCAGACUGGAACUGAGACACGGUCCAGAGGCCUACGGGAGGCAGCAGUGGGGAAUGUGGGGCAAUGGGGGAAAGACGGACGCAGCAAGGGCGCGUGUGUGAAGAAGGUCGGCGGAUCGGAAAGCGCGGUUAGUGGGGAGGAAGAGCUUUGAGGUGAAACAGGGAGGGUUUGACGGUACCAAAAGAAAAAGCCACGGCUAACUUCGUG